rnacentral:rRNA from 1 species
AUUGAACGCUGGCGACAGGCCUAACACAUGCAAGUCGAACGGUAGCACAGAGAGCUUGCUCUCGGGUGACGAGUGGCGGACGGGUGAGUAAUGUCUGGCAAACUGCCCGAUGGAGGGGGAUAACUACUGGAAACGGUAGCUAAUACCGCAUAACGUCGCAAGACCAAAGUGGGGGACCUUCGGGCCUCACACCAUCGGAUGUGCCCAGAUGGGAUUAGCUAGUAGGUGGGGUAAUGGCUCACCUAGGCGACGAUCCCUAGCUGGUCUGAGAGGAUGACCAGCCACACUGGAACUGAGACACGGUCCAGACUCCUACGGGAGGCAGCAGUGGGGAAUAUUGCACAAUGGGCGCAAGCCUGAUGCAGCCAUGCCGCGUGUAUGAAGAAGGCCUUCGGGUUGUAAAGUACUUUCAGCGGGGAGGAAGGCGGUGGAGUUAAUAACUUCACCGAUUGACGUUACCCGCAGAAGAAGCACCGGCUAACUCCGUGCCAGCAGCCGCAGUAA